ensembl:lncRNA
AACCUCUGUCCUCCAUGGGUUCCGUUUGCUCCGGCUGAUCUGAGCUCUUUGCUCUCGUUUCCGCCUCACUGAUCUGAUUGAAUAUCGACCAGCACUGACCUCAGACCAGCAGCUCCGCCCACCUGCAGAGGACGGCGGCCAUAUUGGAGGUCAUCAUGAUCUGGUUAGCAGACGAGCUAACGGCGCUAACAGGUACCGCCGAGUGUUUGUUUGUCCCCAAAUGAGGAGGAAGUCAUUAUCGGCGAGGAACAAUCAGAACAAGGACGAAGCUUCGGCCUUCGACACUCAGCGGGCUUUUAGUGAACAAACACUCACAGUGCUGAGAGAUUCAAAACCACGAUUAAAAACAACGAUUCAAACAUGUUCAGAGUGAACAGAACCGUAAGAGAAGCAAUAAAAGAAGGAAGAUCAGCAGGAGUGGAUGAGGAAGAGCUAAAAGAGGAGGGAAACAUCGACAAGGGUCCAAUGACAACUGAAAGAGGAAAGAAAGGGAGUUAAGGAAGGAGAGACGUUGGAGGAGAAGAAGAGAAGAAGUGAUGAAGAAACAAAGGAAUGAAAUGUGGAUAGAAAGAAAAGAAGAGAGAAAUAAGAAAAGAGUGGAACCAAAGUCCUGGUUCUGCUGAGGAAAACACAAGAACCAGCAACUAAAAACACAAACUGUUCAAAAACACAGAAAGACAAGAAAACAGUGAAGAUGAAAUUAAAUCACAUCCAGAAACACAAACAGCGAAAGAAGAAUAAAUGUUAGAAUGAUUUAAUCAGUUCAGUUUAAAUCAAUAAAUAAAUGAUUAAACUGUGAUUUCUGGAUAUUUAUCUUGUUCUCUGAGCUAACUUGACUCUGCUCCGUCUCUUUGUUUCUGUUCUGAGGUUAUUCUGGGCUGAAAGCUGCUCUGACGUCCGUCUACCUGAACAACAUAAUUAGUCUGAACCCACUGAGACUCUAAACGCCUCACAAUGACGCCGUCAGUCAGAGGAGAGAACACACUCUACAUUAUACACACUCAGAAACACACACAUACAUUAUACACACACUAACACACUCUCAGAAACACACACACACACUAACACACUCUCAGAAAUACACUCCGAACGGCUUCAGGUUGGCAUUUCGGUGUCAACGAUGAUUUCCUCAAUGAUUAUCCUGUCAACUGUCUUUAUCCAACACACAUACACGUA